ACAAACUUGGUCAUUUAGAGGAAGUAAAAGUCGUAACAAGGUCUCCGUUGGUGAACCAGCGGAGGGAUCAUUAGAGUGCUAUAAAACUCAAAACCCUUCUGUGAAUCUACCUGAAAGUUGCUUCGGCAAAGGCCCACGGGGGGCCACAGCUUAUACAGGUUGCUGUAAAGUUGUCUGGGGACGUGCCUGCUAUAAGGGUGUAACCUAGUUGCCGAAGAACGCAAAUAACAAACGCUGUAACAAUUGUAGUCUGAGACAAUAGAAAACUAUUGAAAACUUUCAACAACGGAUCUCUUGGUUCUGGCAUCGAUGAAGAACGCAGC
rnacentral:misc_RNA from 1 species